AUGUUACAAGUUUACAACAUUUGUUUUAUUUUACAGUAUAUGAUGACUCUUCUCAUGAUUUUCACUGCAGUUUCAAGUUCAUUUGCAGAUAAAAUUGGACCAGACGGAGACGCAAAUAUAAUCAGAAAUGAAGAAGAUUCUGUGACACUGAGCUGCACAUAUGAAACAGACAGCACUUAUGUUUGGCUUUACUGGUACAGACAGUCUCCUAACACAGAACCUCAGUAUUUACUGUAUAAAGGUGCUCGAAGAGGAAGCUCAGAACAGCACAUGCCAGAUGAUCGGUUUCAGUCAAAGACAUCAGACACAUCCACUGAACUCAUUAUUAAGAGUGUGUCUCUGUCAGAUUCAGCUCUAUAUUACUGUGCUCUGAGAGAUGUAGCCCAGUGA